AAGAUGAUGGAGAUUAGUAAUAAAGAUGAUUGAGAUUAAUACUAAGCCUCUUUGUUUUAUUUGAUUAGUUCCCUUGGGUGGUGGGAUUUACUGUGAGGCAGAUAUUUUGUUCUGUUCUUAUUUUUCAUCUUUGGGCUUAAUAUUCAAAUGUCACGUAUCUAUUGAAUGUUAGCUACAGAAAAAAAUUUUUAAAGGUGAUACUCAUUUAUUAAUUCAACAAAUAUUUCUUGAGCACCUACUCUGAUCCAGAUCCUAUACCAGGCAUUGUCACUGUCUCCUGGGAGCACACAGUCUUCAGGAUGCAAUAGACCUAUGGAUAAGUAAUUACAGCACUGUGCAAUCAGUGCUAUAAUAAAGGCAGAAUGGAGAAUUAUGAACCUUGUGCUAGACAGGAACCCUUCACAAAGAAGGUGAUGUAACCUAUUUAAGGAUUGAUAUGGUUUGGCUCUGUCCCCACCCAAAUUUCAUCUUGAGUUAUAGCUCCCACAAUUCUCAUGUGUGGUGGGAGGAACCUAGUGAGAGAUAAUUGAAUUAUGGAGGUGGGUCUCUUCCAUGCUGUUCUCAUGAGAGUGAAUAAAUCUCACAAGUUCUGGUGGCUUUAAAAUGGUAGUUUCCCUGUAUAAGCUCCCUCCUUGCCUGCUGACAUCCAUGAAAGAUUAACUUGCUCCUUCUCGCCUUCCAUCAUGAUUGUGAGACCUUCCUGUGGAACUGUUCAUCCAUUAAAUCUCUUUCUUUUGUAUAUUGCCCAGUUUCAGGUGUGUCUUUAUCAGCAAUGUGAGAAUGGACUAGUAUAAGGAUGAAUAGGCAUUUAGUAGGAAGAGAAGAUUACCCUAGGCUCAGGGAAGACCCUGCACAGAGCUAUGAACUCAGGCUGUUCCAGACAAGAGUGAGCCGAAGGGUCGGAGGAGGACCGGGGUGAGAGCAUGAAAGCACAACUGGGCUUACAGCACAACAUUUUAUAGGCUGCUUCUGAGCAUGGAGUUCAUUUUUUUAGGCAGUGGGAAACUACUGGGGGCUUAUGGGUGACAAAGGACUCAGAUUCAUUUUAGGAUGAUUCUGCUGGUGGUAUAAAACAUGUAUUUACAAGCAGGGAAAGUUUUAAGGAGGCUGUUGGAAAUGGUAUAGGCAAAAGGGGAUAAAGAUAUCAUCUAAAGCAGUGACUUUGGGGUUGAGGAGAUGGCAGAGGUUUUGAGUGAGGGUGAAGAGGCAGAAUGUGUUGACAGCUGAUUAGAGAGGACAGGAAGUGUAGAGGAGGGUCCUGAGGUUCCUAGUGUAGGCAGCUGAGUGGAACAUGAGGCCAGAUAUGGAGUCAGCCCGUUUUACCAGUAGAAGGAGCAGAUUUCAGGUGGCAGUGGGAUAGGGUGGGUGCAGAAUCACGGGUUUUUCUUUUGGACCUAUAACUAUUUUAGCUUGUGGACAUGCAGUUCUUGUUAUGUGGAAUGAGCUGAGUCAUAGCAAGUGCUGUGAGUUUUGAUUUUAGCUGGCCUCUAAUUAGGUAGAACAGAAAAAACUCUGUGUUAGUUGUUGGAUUAAAUAUUUUUCCACCUCAUGAUGUAGAGGUAGAGAUCUCCACCUUUAAAAAUAGCUGUUUACUAGUCAGACAUCAUGACUCCCACCUGUAAUCUCAGCUACUUGGAAGGUCAAGGCUGGGGUAUCACUUCAGGUCAGGACCCUGAGUCUAGCCUGGGUGAAAUAGUGAUGUCGUGAGACCCCCUUCUCAAAAACAGAAACAUUGAGUGAUAGCUCUGUACCUGAUACUGUGCUAAAGAGGUACCUGUUGUUAUAGUAUUUUACAAGAAAGAAAAAAGGUACUUAUAGAGGUUAACUAAUUCAUCAAAAAUGGUAACAAUGGGAGCAAGUCCAUUCUGUAUUAUAUGCAAGCAUUUUGUUAUAUUUGAUUUUUGAUAAAAGGUAACUUUUGUAAGAAAGUAGGUGAAAAAACUGAAAAGAUUCUAUUUUAACUUCAGCAGAGAAGUGGUUAAGUGCUUUGCUUCUUAUUUGGUGAUUUAGGUUGGUUAUUAUGACUUUUCUGCCCAUAUGGUGAAAAUAAAGCUUGAUUUACACAUGCUGUGAAUUUGUACUACCUAAUAACUCACCAACUUUUCAGUAAAAGAUAUACUUUGAGUAGCUUUCAGAAUUAUAAAAGAAGAGUUGGACCUCUUAAAAACCUAUACUCACAUAAAGAAUACUUUUUCAUUCUGUUUUUUUUUUUUGUUCAACACUUAUUUCUGUGGCUAGAAUAAUAGCAUUUUGUAGGCUUUUCUGGGUAAAAUAAAUUUUCCUGUUGGACUGAGGGCAAAAUGGAAACAGACCUAGCCUACCAAAGUGUAAAAGUCAAGCCUCCACAUGUUAAAGCUGAUUAGCCAGUAACUAACUGCUAAUUUAACUGCUUUUUUAAAAAAUACAAAUCAACGGUCCUGUUAUUGCAGAAAGAUAACACAAUACAGAGUCCUAAAAUAUGUCAUCCAGUAUGGUCAGUGCAAACUAAAAAAAUUCUGGCAGGAAAAUGAAACAUAAACAAGAGAAAAAGGAGUCAAUGAAAAUAGAUCCUAAGAAGACACAGCUGUGGGAAUGGCAAGUACUUUAAAAACAGCUACUAUUAAUUUGUCAGAGGAACUAAGGAUUUUGUCAUCAGGAGUGAACAAAUGGAAAAUCUCAACUGAAUAAUAAAAAGUCUACAAAAGGACCAAAUAGAAACUCUAGAAUUGAAAAGUAAGAUAUCUAAAAUAGAAAUUUUUGCAAUAUAGGCCUGACAGCAAAUUGAAGAAGAAAGAAGAAAAGGCCAGUGAAUGUGAAAAUGGAUCAAUAGAUACGACUCCAGUUGAAGAAUGUAGAAGAAAUAAAUAGAAUUAACAGAGCCCUAUAUGGGACACAUCAAGCAAUAUAAGAUACAUAUGAUUGCAGUCCCAGAAAGAGACAAGAAAGAGACUGGCAUAUGAAACAAUAUUUUAACAAAUAAUGGAUCAAAGAUUCCCAAAUUUGGUGAAAAAUAUUAACUUGAAGAUUCAAGAAGCUUUGCAUACCCUAAGUGGGAGACAUACAAAGAAAAGCACACUUGUUUUUUGGCCAAAUCAUAGUAAAAAUGCUGAAAGUCAAAGAAAUGAGGUAAUCAUGACAACAGUGAGAAAAACAAUUCAUUAUAUACAGAGCAAUGAUUAAUGUUCACUAACUUAUCAGAAAUAAUGGAAAGCAGAAGGCAGUGGCAAUGACUUGUUUUAAGUGGUGAAAGAACAGAACAAUCUGUCAACCCAGAACUCUAUAUCCAGAGGAGAUGCACCACAGACAUGAAAACAACAUGUUUUGCUUACUUAGUUUGAGAACAUCUGAGUUACGCAAAGCUAAGCAGAUUUCAGUGCUGUAUGACUUCUCAGAGAAGUUCUUAAGAAAAGGAUGGCACAUUCCUUGAUAUCCAAGUUUUUGUGGACCAUAAAUAAUUGAUUCACGGAAUGUCUCAGGGGAUUCAUUUUAUUUGUAAAACAUUUCUAGAAAUACUAAGCUUCAGGAAUGGAAUUUGAUAUUUAUUCUUCAUUAUUUUCAUGAUAUUGCCAGGAUGAUUUUGGAAAAUAAUUAGCAGUGUAUCUGUUUGUGUCUGUAAUAAUGAAAAUGUGGUGUUUUACCUACGUUUACUUUUCUUUAUUCUAAUAACACUUGCAGAGUUGAAUGGCUUUGGGCUGUUGCCAGGUGAAAUACUUUCCAGGAGGGCGAAGUGGUUCAGUGUUGCCUUGUUGGACUAUUUAGAUAUAGAUGAAAAUAGAACUCCCACCUAGAGUUUUCAAUGCAUAUUUUAUGAGUAUAAUAGUGCCAAGAAUAUAGGUUGAGUUGGAUUACAAUAAAAUCAUUAUAUUUUAUGUCUCUGUCUUGGAUUUAUGUGUACUCUUAAUGUGUAGUUUAAACAUGAAGUGUUACAAAUUAAUGCUACCAAAAGCAAGUUGUAAAAGUAGUCCAGAAUUACAUUGUAAAUGACUUAAGCCAUCUAAUUAAAAUAAAAUUUCAAUGUCUUGAAAUAAUUUAGUGAAGGAUUAGUGACUUAAAUUUCACUGCUGCUGAACAUGACCUUCUCUUUGAAUGUAUUAGAAAAUGGAGCUUAAAAGAUCAUCAUUCGAAAGGUUUAUUGUGAAAUUUUUUUGUCUUCAUCCCCUAUUCUUAAAUCCAGUCAUAUCUCCCUAGAUGUCUAGCAUAGUUCCUUUCCACAGCAGAGCUUGAAAUCUCUACAUAGCCAACAUUGAGGCUCCCAGGCUCCCACCACAUUAGUGUUGAUUGACACAGGGAGUAGUGCUUUGUCUUCUUGUCUGUGACUGUAAAGGGCAAAGUGGACAUUCCUCUCUUGGUGUUUUUCCCUCACUCAUUUCCUCCAGGAAUUUGUGAGUCUCUGUCUCUUUUCCCUCUCAACCAAAGACUUCCAACCAACGACUAUAAACUUCUUCUACAGCAGUGGUUCUCUAAUUGGUCCUCAGAUCUUCAGCAUCUGUCACUUGGAAACUUGUUAUAAAUUCAAUUUCUUAGCCCCUCCCACCAGCUUACUAAAUCUGAAACUCUGGGAGUGCAGCCCAGCAAUCUGUGCUUUAACAAGCUUUCCCAGAGAUUCCGAGGCUCUGUGAAGUUUGAGAACUUGUUCUCUAUAGUAAGAAAAAACUUUUGAAUUAUCUUUUUCAUCUUUUUGUUUGACAACAAAGGCAAAGCAGAAUUUAAGAGUUCUUGGUGGUAAUGGUAGUGUGGUGUUGAGUAAACCACUUUUCAAAUUAAAUGAUGCAUUUUAAAUCAUAACAAUAAUUAGUAGUGGUAUCUUCACAAUAUUCUUGAGGUCAUUACCAAUGCUAUUGCUGUGUUACUGUAAGGAAACAGAUUGAGGGAAGAAGUUGGCCAAUGAUGCUGCUGGUUUGACCAGUACUAGCCCCCAGGCUGCAGCUCACUUGGUAAUGCUCUCUGAGAUAUCAUGUAAUGUCUGUCUCCUCUUAUCGCUGCUCAUAUCUUCCCUGUGAGGCCAGAGACUUGUUUCUUUUUAAAAAUGCAAGAGGUGGAGUGAAAGUUCAUGUCUUUAUAGAUGAACUCCUGUCUUUUUUACCCAUUUGUAGACUAUCCCCACUCCCAAACUAAUAGCCAAACUACCUUGAUCAAGGAGAGGGAAUGCUGUACGUUAUUCAUGGUGCAAACAAAUGUUUAUGGCCUCUCUUCUUAUAAGUACUGUGUGCUAAUCGGUUGUGCCACUGGAGCUGCUAUGGUCUCUUUCGUUUCAAAAGUUUAUCUCUUUCUGGAAGUAAUGAAUUCACUGGCCAAUUUAUCUUUGAGCUCUGGCUUGCAGUUUUUGAAAGUUUCCAAGCUCAACUGAGCAAUGAGUGGUUUGGCACUUUAAACCGCUAAUAUAGUAUAAAGUUGGAUGAUUUUGAAAACAAUUCAUGCUUGAAUAAAGUCUUUAUCCUACUGAGUUAUGGUCCCCCACCCCACCCUUUUAAAAAACUUUACUGAGUGAUUAGAGGCAGCCUUUCAAAUUCCACUCAUGAUAAUUGAGGGAUUUAUCUGACCUCCAAGAUGUAUUUAUUUUCUUGACCAUCAAGGAAAUAACGUUUUAAAGAAUUAAGACAAUCCAUAUUAAAUGGAGAGAAAGGAACUACCUAAAAUGAAAAUGUGAUCAUAUUUUAACAUAAAAGUGAAAACUUAUAGUAAUCUUCAGUUACUAAUUAGUUUGAUGCUAGCUCCACUUUUUCUACCAUGUAGAUUUCAUUUAGGAGAGGAGAGUAAAAGAACAUUAAUUAAAAUUGGAAUGAUUAAUUUCAUUGUGUGUCAGUAUAAAUUAAUUUCAGUGUCAGUAUAAAUUAACUCCAGUGUUAGCAAUUCCAUAGGCUUCCUUUCCAUGGUUUACUACAGUAAUUGAAAAUUUAAUCACUCAUUCUGAUAUCAGAAUUCAAAAAAGCAUUUAUACGUGCUUGUGUGUAUGCGAUGGGUAAAGGACAUGAAAAUGUAUAGAUAUUUAAGAAAUGUGACUUGUACUCCAAUUUUUUAUUUAUGUUAGGAUAGCCUUUGAUUUUAAGCAAAAUAUCUAUUUAGAAUGUUUCUCCUUCACCCCCUUCUCUAACUAGGUCCCUUUCCUUCUUUCUCUCGUUGCUUACGAUUAGAAACAAAUGAAUAGCUUUGUACAGGCCAGAGAUUAAAAGACUUUUUUUUUUCUAUGAUACAGAGUGAUUUUUGUGCAAAUAAUUGCUAUCUCUUUCAUCAAAACAGUGUUCUGUCUAGAGAAUAAUGUUUGUUAGGUCAGUUUGUUGUGGCGGUAUUUAUAGGGGAUAUGUUUGAAUGAAUGAAAAUGGUAAGUGGGUAUGUUCACAUAACAUUUGUUUGCUUCUCUCGUCCACCAAGGGAAUUCAUAACUAUAGUGCUCUUUUUAUGUGUUGACUGCCUCUUUCUGCAACAUUGACAGGUGUUGGUGACUUCAUAUUUUUUCCUAAGUUCUUGAACAUAUUCACAGAAAGAAUAAAAAGUUUAGUUUGGGUUUCUUUUGUUAUUCUCUGGAUGCAAAAACAUUCCCUGGUUCCUAAAAUUGAUAAUUUUCUUAAAUUACUCAUGACCUACCAUGUAGUUCUGCUGUUUGUUUUAAUUUCUUAAUAUGGGGUAAUAUUUUACAAGAUUUUCAAAAUACUUAGAUCCUCAUCUAUAUUAGAAGUCAGCGUGUGUGUGUGUGUAUGUGUGUGUGUGUGUGUGUGUGUGUGUGUGUGUAUGUGUGUAAAGGAGAAGGGAGUAGGCUAGGCCUUGUGGGACACACUACCUGAUGUUGUAGUAUGAAACAGCUAUAAAUAAUACAUGAGCAAGUGGGUGUGGCUGCAUUUACAUAAACCUUUAAUAUAUAAGAGGUGUUGUGCUGGUUUGGAACUGGGUGUAGUUUAUGUAUGCUAUGAUAAUUACUGUGGCUUUAUCUGUCUUCUGUAAUCCACCUUCUUCUUUCUACCUUGAGAUAAUCAAAUGCUUUCUUCCUCUUCCUCCUCCCCCUCCUCUUCCUCUUCUUCUGCUU